UUUGAAUCUAUAACCUCAUCCCUAUGCCAAGAAGAAGAUUAUCCAAGAAAUGAGAAUGGGAAUAAAAAUUGGCCCAAACCAUGUUAAAUGUUAGGUAAAACUCUUAAACUAGCUUCACAAAUUGUGAUCCAUUCAGUGCCAAGAAGCCAACUCUAGAAAAUGAAUAGCGUUAUUUCAACAGAUAUACUAAAAUACAGACCCCAUUAUGCAAAUCGGAUUUGCCUUUGGAACUUACUUUCUACCCUUUCUUCGAGCGGAGCCAUUAGCAAAGCCCUUUCUAUUAGAAUUAUUGUUUGGUUUGUCAACCUCAUCAUCCUCGUCUUCAUUCUUGUCCUCAUCCUCAUCCUCGCUAUACUCGCUCUGAUCACCUUCUUCGUCCUCUUCAAUGUCAUCUUCGUCUUCAUCUUCAACGUCAUUCUCAUCCUGCACUCCCCCAGCCACAUGACCACCUCGACUUCCAGCUCUGCUCCUUUUCAAUACUUUUAGUUUUAAGUUUGUCUUUGUGUCGCAGCCAAUCCAUGUGUCACACAUCAAAUGACUGUUUAGACUGUAACUUCCUGCCUGUGGAGCUUGGAUCUUGCCCAAGAUCAGUCGGCACCCUCUCUUAACUUUCGCAACAGCAUCUUUAACAGCAGCAGCAAUCUCCUCCAUAUUUGCCCCCGAUGCUUCCAUUUUCGCUUCGGUUAUUGUUGAAGCAGUUGUUAUGGCUGCUGCUUCAUCCAUAAAGUUGAUACUUUCAGAAAACCAGACAUCAUUUGAAUUGGCAUCUGCAAGUAAAAACCAGAAAUUCUCUCCCUUGGGGAAUGGAUAGUAUGGAGCAUGUGGAAGAGCAGCGAUCAAACCAUUAGCACGUCUGACUGUCACCCAUGCCUGCACAGUGACAAUGUCCCCCUCUUGGAUGCCUUCCUCACCCUCAGUCUCGCAUGUAACUUCAAUUGUUGCACGAGGCAUCAAUUCUAGCACCUUCUCUACGUCUUGCACUUCAGCAGCGGAUAGGCCAGCAACAUCAGAAAGCAGCUCAGCACGUUCUUGAAGGGUCAUGUCCAGGAGGUUCUGUAGUGUACGCACCUUCUUCCCUAUCUUUGUGAUGACUGCAUCAUUAAAAUUUGGAAGCUGUAAAAGCGAAGCAACACCAUCAGAGGAUCCUGAACCUGCCUUCCUAGCACUAAGGGGAACGGCCUGAAUAAUGCACUGGGAGAGCUCGACGAUUCCAAUUGCAGGCCUUAGCCAACCAUGUCCCUUAGCAGUGCGUGGCACAGUUGCCAUCUUGAUUAGCCCUUCGAGAAGGCGAGGUGUAAACUGCAGCACAUGUUUGUAAUCCUGCUGCAAGUUACUAGAGAAAGUGUCUGCUUUACGAAGUAAAUGGGCUUGAAUCAACAAUUCGGCCUUGACAAUAGCAGGAUGUUGUUUCCAAAAUUUUGCUUGUUCCUGUCUGGCAUUCUUACCAUCCAGGUUCAGUUCACUUUUCACAAGUUUGAAGAGUUCCUGAAGAGGUUCAUCAUCAGCUCUUCGAACUGGAAUAUCCAUGAACUCAGCUGCCUUAACGAAUACAUCCAUAACUUUGCUUGGAGCCAAGGAGGGCUUCACUAAUUCAAAAUAAGUGACAAGAGUUUCACGCCUGACAUUAUUUCCCCCAUACUUUGAUGCUCUUGAUAGAUAAACAACACCAAAAGCCAUUGGCAAUAGUAUAAAACCUCCAAGAAUCCAAAGUAAUAAUAUACCACCAGACGAGCCAUUAAAAUCAAGCAAAAACUGAGGAAGUGCUAUCCCCAUUUGAAAACCCUGUCUGCCAUCUGGAUGUCCAUAUUUCUCAAAAUUCUCCCUUGAGACCGGAUCUGUCAGGGCCUGGUAAGCUUUGGAAAUAUACUCCACAAAAUACUUAUGAGCAGCUGGGUCAGGGUUUUUGUCUGGGUGGUAUUGUAUUGAAAGUCUCCUAUAUGCUUUCUUUAUUGCAGAUUCGGUAACUCCUGGUGCUAGCCCAAGAAUACUGAACGGAUCAAAAGCUUCAAUCUCACGACUACUUUGCUUGAUGCUAUAAACAAGGAAAAUCACAAUGACCCAAAGCAACAGCAAGGUAAAGUUGCUACAUGUUGAAAACUUAGAGAUCCUUCCAAAAAUGGAUUUGCGAUAUUUUCCUGAUCGAGAGCAAACUGAACACGCACAGUGAAUACUCUUUUCCUUCUUUGAAGCAACACGGAGUAAUUUAAGUAUUGUAUAGGGUACUAAAGGCAGGGCAAUUAUUGACAAUAUAAAAAUUGGGAACAAGGCACUAUUCUCUCCAGUGUCAGCCAUGAGAACUUCUCCACAGAUAUUCCGCAGAUGCUAUAGCCUCUGUAUAAGUGAUGGAUUCUUCAACUUAGCAAAAUCAGCUAUGAAGAAUGUUGAAAUUGGAUUGAGGGACUACGACUGGUAACCCGAAACGUAAGCCCCCAAAGAUUUUAUUUUUCUCGCAGCCGUUUACUUUGUGUAGCUUGCAAUUGAA
rnacentral:misc_RNA from 1 species